AAGACCUUGCGCUUUUGGAGCGGCCGAUGCCUGAUUAGCUUGUUGGUAAGGUAAAAGCUUACCAAGUCUUCGAUCAGUAGCUGGUCUGAGAGGACGGCCAGCCACACUGGGACUGAGACACGGCCCAGACUCCUACGGGAGGCAGCAGUGGGGAAUUUUGGACAAUGGGCGCAAGCCUGAUCCAGCCAUGCCGCGUGAGUGAAGAAGGCCUUCGGGUUGUAAAGCUCUUUCAGCCGGGAAGAAAAGGUUGCGAUUAAUAAUCGCAAUUUAUGACGGUACCGGAAGAAGAAGCACCGGCUAACUACGUGCCAGCAGCCGCGGUAAUACGUAGGGUGCGAGCGUUAAUCGGAAUUACUGGGCGUAAAGGGUGCGCAGGCGGUUUUGUAAGUCAGAUGUGAAMUCCCCGGGCUUAACCUGGGAACU
rnacentral:rRNA from 1 species